rnacentral:lncRNA from 1 species
UCCCUCAAUUCCCCAUACACCCACCCAUCCAUUAUUGUCUUUUUUUUUUCCAUUUUGUUGAGAGACCAUUAACGAGAGAGUUUAACCAGAUAUUUUAUCAUCAAUUUGCAGAGAAUCCAUAUUUGUUGUUUUCUUUUCGUUUCUAAUUACAUGAGAUUUUAUCAUCAAUAUGAUUCUACUUUCUGUUAUAGGGGACUUAGAGCUUUACUUGUUGGCGUGUUGGGAUUAUUCGACUAUUCCUUGCCAAAGUCCAGAGAGAUUUUGUAAUAUGUUUCUAGAUUUGACCAUAGCCAUUUGCUGAUGUGGGUCAACUGUUCACAGCCAUGUUUGUCGGGUGGAAAAAGCGUAGCUGUUUCGGUCAUAAGCUUGGUGUUGCGUAAUCAGAGGAUGGCUAGCAUCUGCUUGCAAUCCCAGUCGUAGCCAUGGAGAUGUUAUGAUAUGAUAUAGGAGCAACUUUGGCUUGUGGGACUGGAGCGUGUGUAGUAGUUGUUGCGGCUAUUCUCAAGGGUUGUUCUGAGAGAUUGAUUUACCAGGAGGGCCAUUGGACAUAGAAUGGAGGGAGGAGGAUAACCAUGUGUACAUGAUGGGUCCUGUAGAAGUAGAUUUUUUUUUGGAUCUUUUCAGCUCUAGGAUUCGUACAAUCUCAAAAUAAUUUCCAAAUUUUAGGUGAAGUGAGUUAUGAGGAUUGAGGUCUCUAGUAUCGUCAAUGUUUCUUAUGCCUCCAAUGUUUCAUCAGUGUACACGUAACCAGGAGGUACUGAAUGCAGCUACUAUGUGAUGAAGUUCAUGAAGAGAUAGCUUACGAAUGAGUUGAAAUACUUGACAAUGAUAAUGUUGGGAAAGGAGUAAAGGAAUACUCUGUUGCGGAUAUGUAUGGCAUUCGCGAAGAUUGGUCGACUUAUGCGGUUACCUCUAUGUUUAAGUGACAAAUCGUAUUUUAGGUGUUGACGAUGUAUUGACAAACAAUUCUCUUUUCUGUUAACGUUAAAAUAUUUGUAGUAUACUUG